UACAGAGGGUGCGAGCGUUAAUCGGAAUUACUGGGCGUAAAGCGCACGUAGGUGGCGACGUAAGUCGGGUGUGAAAGCCCCGGGCUCAACCUGGGAAUUGCAUUCGAGACUGCAUUGCUGGAGUACGGAAGAGGAGGGCGGAAUUCCCGGUGUAGCGGUGAAAUGCGCAGAUAUCAGGAGGAACACCGGUGGCGAAGGCGGGUCUCUGGGCCGAAACUGACGCUGAGGAGCGAAAGCGUGGGGAGCGAACAGG
rnacentral:rRNA from 1 species